rnacentral:rRNA from 1 species
CUAACGGCGAGUGAAGCGGCAAAAGCUCAAAUUUGAAAUCUGGUACCUUCGGUGCCCGAGUUGUAAUUUGGAGAGGGCAACUUUGGGGCCGUUCCUUGUCUAUGUUCCUUGGAACAGGACGUCAUAGAGGGUGAGAAUCCCGUGUGGCGAGGAGUGCGGUUCUUUGUAAAGUGCCUUCGAAGAGUCGAGUUGUUUGGGAAUGCAGCUCUAAGUGGGUGGUAAAUUCCAUCUAAAGCUAAAUAUUGGCGAGAGACCGAUAGCGAACAAGUACAGUGAUGGAAAGAUGAAAAGAACUUUGAAAAGAGAGUGAAAAAGUACGUGAAAUUGUUGAAAGGGAAGGGCAUUUGAUCAGACAUGGUGUUUUGUGCCCUCUGCUCCUUGUGGGUAGGGGAAUCUCGCAUUUCACUGGGCCAGCAUCAGUUUUGGUGGCAGGAUAAAUCCAUAGGAAUGUAGCUUGCCUCGGUAAGUAUUAUAGCCUGUGGGAAUACUGCCAGCUGGGACUGAGGACUGCGACGUAAGUCAAGGAUGCUGGCAUAAUGGUUAUAUGCCGCCCGUCUUGAAACCC